GAUGAACGCUGGCGGCGUGCCUAAUACAUGCAAGUCGAGCGAACGGACGAGAAGCUUGCUUCUCUGAUGUUAGCGGCGGACGGGGGAGUAACACGUGGAGAACCUACCUAGAAGACUGGGAUAAAGUCGGGAAACCGGAGCUAAUACCGGAUAAUAUUUUGAACAGCAUGGUUCAAAAGUGAAAGACGGUCUUGCUGUCACUUAUAGAUGGAUCCGCGCUGCAUUAGCUAGUUGGUAAGGUAACGGCUUACCAAGGCAACGAUGCAUAGCCGACCUGAGAGGGUGAUCGGCCACACUGGAACUGAGACACGGUCCAGACUCCUACGGGAGGCAGCAGUAGGGAAUCUUCCGCAAUGGGCGAAAGCCUGACGGAGCAACGCCGCGUGAGUGAUGAAGGUCUUCGGAUCGUAAAACUCUUUUAUUAGGGAAGAACAUAUGUGUAAGUAACUGUGCACACCUUGACGGUACCUAAUCAGAAAGCCCCGGCUAACUACGUG
rnacentral:rRNA from 1 species